GAAAAUUGGACUAGAAUGAAGCCUUGUGGAAUCCAAGAAGAAUUCGUUAUUCUUUAGCUGCUUUCAUCUCCAACUGUGUUAGGCAUCCUCCUAAGAUGGUCCCCAAGAUGGCAGACCCCUGGAAUCAUCUGUAGAAUUUCCUCUCUUUUCACAGCUUUUAUGAGUUGAUUUUUCAGCGAACCUUCAAGGGGCUAAGGGGAACAUUACCCUUGGCCACUAUACUGCCAACAACCUAUGAGCCUGGAAGAGGAUCCCAAGUCUCAGAUGAAACCAGGACCUCAGCCAACACCUUGAUUUCAGCCUCAUGAGAUCCUAAGCAGAGGGAACAGUAAAGCCACAUAUGGUGCCUAACCAAAAAAACUUUGAGAUAAUAAAUAUGUAUUUUGGAAGCUGCUA
rnacentral:lncRNA from 1 species